rnacentral:rRNA from 1 species
AACGAGCGCUGGCGGCAUGCCUAACACAUGCAAGUCGAACGAGACCUUCGGGUCUAGUGGCGCACGGGUGCGUAACGCGUGGGAACCUGCCCUUAGGUUCGGAAUAACUCCCCGAAAGGGGUGCUAAUACCGGAUAAUGUCUUCGGACCAAAGAUUUAUCGCCUUUGGAUGGGCCCGCGUUGGAUUAGCUAGUUGGUAGGGUAAAAGCCUACCAAGGCGACGAUCCAUAGCUGGUCUGAGAGGAUGAUCAGCCACACUGGGACUGAGACACGGCCCAGACUCCUACGGGAGGCAGCAGUGGGGAAUAUUGGACAAUGGGCGAAAGCCUGAUCCAGCAAUGCCGCGUGAGUGAUGAAGGCCUUAGGGUUGUAAAGCUCUUUUACCCGGGAUGAUAAUGACAGUACCGGGAGAAUAAGCUCCGGCUAACUCCG